UAAAAGAAAAUGCAGUCUUUACAUUUGGCUUUAAUCCAGUAUGACGUAGGUCCUUAUUAAGAAGAGCAUAUGAAGACAGAGCCAGAGUAAAGACUGCCAUCCACUAGCCAAUGACACAUCCUGCCCUCAACAAUCCUCAGAAGGAACCCACCCUGAUACACUUUGAAUGUGGACUUUCAGUCUUCAAACUGUAAGAUAGUAAAGUUCUGAUGUUUAAGCCACCCGCUUUGUGGCACUCGGUUGCAACAGCGCCAGCAAACUUAUAUAGCACAAAUACAACAAAGCAUGUAUUGAGAGUAGGGCUGUUGAAGGAAGAAAAGAAUCUUUUCCAUUCGAGAUGUUAGUUCAGUGCAGGUAGAUGUGUAGCAUGUGGUUUCAGUGCUCAGCAACUGAGAACAGGGAGCUGCUUCUGAUAAAUUUUGAAUGCUUCCUUUUGGGGGAUUGUUUAAACACAAGAGUUCAGAGUAAGCCCAGAAGAAAGAUCCCCUAGCCAUCUGCAGGAGGCAUGCAUAUACAUGCACCUUUGGUACCACCCUAAGCUGACUGGCAGAGGCGACGCUCCUCUGAGAGGAUUGUAUGGAAACGCAGCCAUGAUUGCAGAAGGGUGGAAACAAGGAAUGUGAUUUUUAUCAAAUGUGUCUUUAAAGUGUAGCUUUUUCCCAAAAGCUGAAUAAAAUAUUUCUCAGAAAUGAGGAAUGAUAAGAAUAAAAUAUUUAUUGAAAAAUGACUUUGAAUAGACUUUUGGUUAGGAGUCUUCUUAUUUCUCAACCCAUCCUCUUAAAUCUUUUCCCAAAACACAGGCACAGGUAGUGCAGAAAAGUUGAAAGGGACAAUUUCCUGUACUGAUAAAUAAAACUGCUCUAUGAGUUGGAAUAUAAUGACAGAAAACAAUGAAAACUCAAGUUUUUCCUCAGAGUAUCCUGAUUGGUUCUCGAUAGUAUCCUAUCCCCGUGAUGGUCACGUGGAUGUUUCUUCUCCUCCCUCACUGCGGUCCUUGCUGGACCGAUUGAGGUGCUAGAAUUAAUAAAGACCAUAACUUGAAGGCAAGUUCUAAUCCAGUGUUCCUUGCCUUCUUCUUUGGCCUCAAGGUAAAUAGGUCAGUAGCUAAUUAAUUUGGAGUUUCUUUGAGAGUCUUGAUUCUAUCACCAGGUCAGUAAUUACUAUUCAGGGCAUUGCUAUGCUUUGACGUUUGCCUGAAGUAUAAAUUAUUAGUGUCUCAAAAAAGUCAUUGGCCUGAAAGGAAAACAUUAGAGACAAAAUAAAAGGAGGAUUAAAAUACUUCUGAGCUGUUUUUCCUCUCUUCCUCAAGGCAGGGAACCACCUCGAGGGGGCCCCUGUGAAGGUGAGUCUCUGGAGAGCAUUGUGGGCUACAGUCUUCCUCCUUAUGGCCGUGUCAGGAGUCCAAGCAUGGGUUGCUAAUAGGAUGGCUCAUGGAUUGGAGAUGGGAUUUUGAAACACAAGAGAGCCACGAACCAGGCUUGGGAGAAGGAGAUGGAGGAGGAGUACAUUGUUAAUCAGUUCUCCAAGUGUGGAUGACCGCUGUGGCCAAGCAUGGCAGGCUGGAUUUUCUGGAGUUACGGGCACAUGAAAACCUGUUCUAUGCUACAUGUUCUUCCUGUAGAGAGGCAAUGAUACCCUUGAUGAAAGGACCUGUAUCAUGGCAACCCCAAGGCAACAUGUGAGAAAUCUGGCCGGCCCAAGGCCACCAUGCUAGAGAGACCACAUGGAGAUGCCAUAUCAAGCUAGAGAGGAAUGAGGAAUGCCUUCAAUGGUUUGAGUCUGCCCAGCUCAGCUUCUGGUCACAUAUAUAAAGAAGCCUUCAGUAUGACCCCAGGCCCAGCUGCUGUCUGACUGCAACCUCCUAAGAGGCCCAGAGACAGACCUUUAAGUGGAAAUGCUCUAAACUUGCAGAAACCAUAAGAAGUAAUAAAUAAUAACUGUUAUUUAAGUCUCUGAGUUUUAAGAUAUUUUGUUAUACAGAACUAGAUAACUGCAACUAUAGUCACUCUGUGUUUAAUUUUUUAUACAGGAAUUGGGCUGCUGUUCAGAUUAGGCUUUUUGAUCUUUGUUUCAUACUGUGGUAGCUGUUUAUUUGUGAAUAUAAAUUUUGUUUUCAUAUUGUUUUCUUCUCUAUUGUACAUUCUGUUAUAAAUUCUUUAUUAACAGUAAUUGACUUUUUCAGCUAAAACAUGUAUCCCUUUCGUUUGUUACCCAAAUUUCCCCCCUAGGAGUAGUUCAAGUGGCAUUUCAGGUAUUUAGUAUUUUGUACUUUAAUUAAGGUACAACUCAUGAAAACAGUUAUUGAACUGUUGAACAUUUCAUGAAUAUUGAGACAGUAUUAAAAUUAAAGAGAAGUGUACCAGCAACUGUUUAUAGUCAUGUGAAAAUGUACUCUUUAUUUUGACACUUUCCAGAGAAUGUUUAUAUUUGAGGUGGGUAUUAUCAGACUCUUAGAA